CACGUGUGCAACCUGCCUUUAUCUGGGGGAUAGCCUUUCGAAAGGAAGAUUAAUACCCCAUAAUAUACUGAAUGGCAUCAUUCUGUAUUGAAAACUCCGGUGGAUAGAGAUGGGCACGCGCAAGAUUAGAUAGUUGGUGAGGUAACGGCUCACCAAGUCUACGAUCUUUAGGGGGCCUGAGAGGGUGAUCCCCCACACUGGUACUGAGACACGGACCAGACUCCUACGGGAGGCAGCAGUGAGGAAUAUUGGACAAUGGGUGAGAGCCUGAUCCAGCCAUCCCGCGUGAAGGACGACGGCCCUAUGGGUUGUAAACUUCUUUUGUAUAGGGAUAAACCUACCCUCGUGAGGGUAGCUGAAGGUACUAUACGAAUAAGCACCGGCUAACUCCGUGCCAGCAGCCGCGGUAAUACGGAGGGUGCAAGCGUUAUCCGGAUUUAUUGGGUUUAAAGGGUCCGUAGGCGGAUCUGUAAGUCAGUGGUGAAAUCUCACAGCUUAACUGUGAAACUGCCAUUGAUACUGCAGGUCUUGAGUGUUGUUGAAGUAGCUGGAAUAAGUAGUGUAGCGGUGAAAUGCAUAGAUAUUACUUAGAACACCAAUUGCGAAGGCAGGUUACUAAGCAACAACUGACGCUGAUGGACGAAAGCGUGGGGAGCGAACAGGAUUAGAUACCCUGGUAGUCCACGCCGUAAACGAUGCUAACUCGUUUUUGGAAUGUAAGUUUCAGAGACUAAGCGAAAGUGAUAAGUUAGCCACCUGGGGAGUACGAACGCAAGUUUGAAACUCAAAGGAAUUGACGGGGGCCCGCACAAGCGGUGGAUUAUGUGGUUUAAUUCGAUGAUACGCGAGGAACCUUACCAAGGCUUAAAUGGGAAAUGACAGGUUUAGAAAUAGACUUUUCUUCGGACAUUUUUCAAGGUGCUGCAUGGUUGUCGUCAGCUCGUGCCGUGAGGUGUUAGGUUAAGUCCUGCAACGAGCGCAACCCCUGUCACUAGUUGCCAUCAUUAAGUUGGGGACUCUAGUGAGACUGCCUACGCAAGUAGAGAGGAAGGUGGGGAUGACGUCAAAUCAUCACGGCCCUUACGCCUUGGGCCACACACGUAAUACAAUGGCCGGUACAGAGGGCAGCUACACUGCGAAGUGAUGCAAAUCUCGAAAGCCGGUCUCAGUUCGGAUUGGAGUCUGCAACUCGACUCUAUGAAGCUGGAAUCGCUAGUAAUCGCGCAUCAGCCAUGGCGCGGUGAAUACGUUCCCGGGCCUUGUACACACCGCCCGUCAAGCCAUGGAAGUCUGGGGUACCUGAAGUCGGUGACCGUAACAGGAGC
rnacentral:rRNA from 1 species